AAGGAUAUAUUCGGAACAUCUUCUACGAAGAUGCGGAAUAACGUGACAUAUUGUAUUCAGUUUUGAAUGUUUAUUAACAUUCAAAUAAAUCGUUUUAAAAGAGAGCGUUUGACAAAUAAUACUAUUUGCCAAUGCUUCAUUUAAAAUUGAUUGUUGUACAUUGAAAACUAGAUAAGUAAGUAAAUUAGAUUUUACCAAGCAAAACCGAGUGAAUUAGAGUUUUAAAYAAGCUUGAAUUCAUAAGAAAUAAUCGCUAGUGUUCGAAAGAACACUCACAAGAUUAAUAACACAUACACACUUAUAUAAUUUUGAAAGAAAAYGUUUGUCAGGCGAGGCGUUGAAGCAUUUCUAAGCGCAGUUUACUUUUGUAAAUGAGCAUUAGAAAUGAUGAAACAACAAAGCAUGCGMGCGUUUGACUCAAAAUGAAUGAGCUUUAAAAGAAAUCGUAUUCAGAUAAUGAGUUGAACCAUUUUGAAGCRCAGUUUACUAAUGUAAAUGAGCAUUUAAAAUGGUGAAACGAAGCCAUAUGAAUGCGAUUGACUUAAAGCACAGUGUGGAA
rnacentral:misc_RNA from 1 species